rnacentral:rRNA from 1 species
GACGAACGCUGGCGGCGUGCUUAACACAUGCAAGUCGAGCGGUAAGGCCCCUUCGGGGGUACACGAGCGGCGAACGGGUGAGUAACACGUGAGCAAUCUGCCCUUCACACGGGGAUAACCACCGGAAACGGUGGCUAAUACCCGAUACGACCACUUCAGGCAUCUGAUGGUGGUGGAAAGUUCCGGCGGUGAAGGAUGAGCUCGCGGCCUAUCAGCUUGUUGGUGGGGUAACGGCCUACCAAGGCUUCGACGGGUAGCCGGCCUGAGAGGGUGACCGGCCACACUGGGACUGAGACACGGCCCAGACUCCUACGGGAGGCAGCAGUGGGGAAUAUUGGACAAUGGGCGAAAGCCUGAUCCAGCAACGCCGCGUGAGGGAUGACGGCCUUCGGGUUGUAAACCUCUUUCAGCAGGGACGAAGCGCAAGUGACGGUACCUGCAGAAGAAGCACCGGCCAACUACGUGCCAGCCGCCGCCGUAACAC